GACGAACGCUGGUGGCGUGCUUAACACAUGCAAGUCGAACGGGAUUUAGUAAACAGAAGCCUCGGUGGAAGAUUACUAAUGAGAGUGGCGAACGGGUGAGUAACGCGUGAGCAACCUGCCUAUGACAGUGGGAUAGCCUCGGGAAACCGGGAUUAAUACCGCAUAAAAUCGUAGAAACACAUGUUUUAACGGUCAAAGAUUUAUCGGUCAUAGAUGGGCUCGCGUCUGAUUAGCUAGUUGGUGAGAUAACAGCCCACCAAGGCGACGACCAGUAGCCGGUCUGAGAGGAUGAACGGCCACAUUGGAACUGAGACACGGUCCAAACUCCUACGGGAGGCAGCAGUGGGGAAUAUUGCACAAUGGGGGAAACCCUGAUGCAGCGACGCCGCGUGAACGAAGAAGGUAUUCGUAUCGUAAAGUUCUGUCCUAUGGGAAGAUAAUGACAGUACCAUAGAAGAAAGCUCCGGCUAAAUACGUA
rnacentral:rRNA from 1 species